GAUGAACGCUGGCGGCGUGCUUAACACAUGCAAGUCGAACGAAGCACUUUAUUUGAUUUCCUUCGGGACUGAUUAUUUUGUGACUGAGUGGCGGACGGGUGAGUAACGCGUGGGUAACCUGCCUUGUACAGGGGGAUAACAGUUGGAAACGGCUGCUAAUACCGCAUAAGCGCACAGCAUCGCAUGAUGCAGUGUGAAAAACUCCGGUGGUAUAAGAUGGACCCGCGUUGGAUUAGCUAGUUGGUGAGGUAACGGCCCACCAAGGCGACGAUCCAUAGCCGACCUGAGAGGGUGACCGGCCACAUUGGGACUGAGACACGGCCCAAACUCCUACGGGAGGCAGCAGUGGGGAAUAUUGCACAAUGGGCGAAAGCCUGAUGCAGCGACGCCGCGUGAGCGAAGAAGUAUUUCGGUAUGUAAAGCUCUAUCAGCAGGGAAGAUAAUGACGGUACCUGACUAAGAAGCACCGGCUAAAUACGUGCCAGCAGCCGCGGUAAUACGUAUGGUGCAAGCGUUAUCCGGAUUUACUGGGUGUAAAGGGAGCGCAGGCGGUGCGGCAAGUCUGAUGUGAAAGCCCGGGGCUCAACCCCGGUACUGCAUUGGAAACUGUCGUACUAGAGUGUCGGAGGGGUAAGCGGAAUUCCUAGUGUAGCGGUGAAAUGCGUAGAUAUUAGGAGGAACACCAGUGGCGAAGGCGGCUUACUGGACGAUAACUGACGCUGAGGCUCGAAAGCGUGGGGAGCAAACAGGAUCAGAUACCCUGGUAGUCCACGCCGUAAACGC
rnacentral:rRNA from 1 species